GAGCAGGAUAGUUGUAAGCUGCUGUAGCACUUAUCUCUUCCCCACAGGGUCAGCUAAAUUAACUUAACAGGGUCUAUAAAACCAGGGAGAAAACUUCUCUCUGUGUGUUCAGAAAAUGCUGUUUUCUGAUCAUCAGUUACAAUUUUUGUUAGCUUUGGUAGCAUCACAGUUUGGUACCAAUUACACAUUUGAAGAUGACCUGCUGGCAAAAAGCUGUUAGCUUUCUGUUCCUUUUUUUGCUCAUUAGAAGACUGCAACAAGCAGCAAAGAGAAUCUGCUUGCGUGUUAUACCUUCAAGUUUCUGUCUACAAAGUUCUUUAUUCGUUGGUGAAGUCUUUCAGCUGAUACUUCUGGUGUUGAACACGUACUGUAUACACAUAUAUAUGUUCUUGACAGUCUAAGACAGGGAAGAUUUGGAGAGAAAUUCUGUUUUUCAGCAUUUCUGCUGAUGGAGCCCCAUCUCCAUCAUUACCAUGUUAUGCUUGAAAGCUUAUGGUUUUAAACUUUGGCAAGACCUGUUGAAAGCACCAUCACUGCGAUGUGUUAAAGCCUCUUUCAAUGGCUCCUUUGUCCCACAUGUUCCAUGAUGAAAUUUCUGAAGGAUUGUAUUCCUUCCCUGCGGCUCUUCCCUCUAUUAUUUCCACAUAAUCAACCCACUUGCUUUAAGAGCAAACUUUUACCUUGUCGUACCCUUUGCACUGAAGAAGUUUGUUUUCACUAUGGCAACUGUGCAUCAAAGGUAGGAUCCUUUCACACUUGUGUUUCUCUCUCUCCUUUGAGCAUGGACUGACGUGUACAUGGCAGCGAGCCUUGUGAAAUCCAGUUUCUACAGAUGUCGGUCUGAGCCAUUGCUGUGUUUCCGAGGAGCACUGGACAGAGCAGGCAGAUGCGGUGUCAGAUUAGCUCUGCUCGUCUCACAGGUUGCAAAGGAAUCAGACUGAAUCCAGGAAUGGGGAAUUGGAGGUGCACAAUCAAAAUGUCAGCCAGAUGACCAGAAUGAUGAAGAAAGAAAGAACAGCUGUAGUCCCCCAUCAGGCUGAACAGUGUCCAAGUGCUCAGUUACCAAAAGAAGGGAACCAAGUGCAGAAGGCAAGAGGGAAAUACAAGGACAUGAAGGCUCCAAAUGGCUAACACAGGGAUAUUGCCUUUUCUCUGUGCCUUUCUUAAGCUAAGAGAGGGAGGUGGCUGCUUUAACCUAGAACAAAGAACUAAAAGUUUGCUGAGUUAAACAACCACCAACAAAAAAAUCUAUUAUGUAUCACAUUAAAAAUAUUCUUCGCUA